GAUGAACGCUGGCGGCGUGCUUAACACAUGCAAGUCGAACGGUGAACCCGGAGCCUGCUCUGUGGGAUCAGUGGCGAACGGGUGAGUAACACGUGAGCAACCUGCCCCUGACUCUGGGAUAAGCGCUGGAAACGGCGUCUAAUACUGGAUAUGUGACGUGACCGCAUGGUCUGCGUUUGGAAAGAUUUUUCGGUUGGGGAUGGGCUCGCGGCCUAUCAGCUUGUUGGUGGGGUAAUGGCUCACCAAGGCGUCGACGGGUAGCCGGCCUGAGAGGGUGACCGGCCACACUGGGACUGAGACACGGCCCAGACUCCUACGGGAGGCAGCAGUGGGGAAUAUUGCACAAUGGGCGCAAGCCUGAUGCAGCAACGCCGCGUGAGGGAUGACGGCCUUCGGGUUGUAAACCUCUUUUAGCAGGGAAGAAGCGAAAGUGACGGUACCUGCAGAAAAAGCGCCGGCUAACUACGUG
rnacentral:rRNA from 1 species